GUGACAUGCACGGUGUCAGAGGGAAGC
rnacentral:piRNA from 1 species